rnacentral:tRNA from 1 species
GUAGAUGUGACAGAGAGGUCGAUUGUGGCUCCCCGCUAAGGAGUUGGCCGGUUAUCGGUCCGAAGGUUCGAAUCCUUCCAUCUGCG